UGGGGAAUAUUGCACAAUGGGCGAAAGCCUGAUGCAGCAACGCCGCGUGAGGGAUGACGGCCUUCGGGUUGUAAACCUCUUUUAGUAGGGAAGAAGCGAAAGUGACGGUACCUGCAGAAAAAGCACCGGCUAACUACGUGCCAGCAGCCGCGGUAAUACGUAGGGUGCAAGCGUUGUCCGGAAUUAUUGGGCGUAAAGAGCUCGUAGGCGGUUUGUCGCGUCUGCUGUGAAAUCCCGAGGCUCAACCGCGGGUCUGCAGUGGGUACGGGCAGACUAGAGUGUGGUAGGGGAGAUUGGAAUUCCUGGUGUAGCGGUGGAAUGCGCAGAUAUCAGGAGGAACACCGAUGGCGAAGGCAGAUCUCUGGGCCAUUACUGACGCUGAGGAGCGAAAGCAUGGGGAGCGAACA
rnacentral:rRNA from 1 species